rnacentral:tRNA from 1 species
AUUUAAAUAAUUUAAAAAAAAUAUUGAUUUGUGGGAUCAAAAAUAUGAAAGAUUCAUUUUAAAUU